CUUCGGAGAUAGUGGCGGACGGGUGCAGUAACGCGUGAGAACAUGCCUUUAGAUUGGGGACAACUCUUGGAAACGACAGCUAAUACCGAAUGUGCCUUACGGUGAAAGAUUUAUUGUCCAUUGAUUGGCUCGCGUCAAAAUAACUUGUUUGAGUGGUAACGGCCCACCCAGGGCACCAUUUGUACUUGGUCUGAAAGGAAGACCAGGCCCACUGGAACUGAAACACGGUCCAAACUCCCACCGGAGGCAGCCAUGGGGAAUUUUCCGCAAUGGGCGAAAGCCUGACUGAACAAUACCGCGGGGGGGAAGACGGCCUUUGGGUUGUAAACCUCUUUUAUCAAGGAAGAAUCGAUAACGGUCCCGGAUGAAUCACCCCCGGCAAAUUCCUUGCCACCACCCCCGGUAAUACGGAGGAGGCAGGCUUUUUCCGGAAUUAUGGGGCGUAAAGCGUCCUUAGGUGGUUUAUCAAGUCUGCUGUCAAACCGUGGGGCUUACCCGCAAACUGGCAGUGGAAACUGAUGAACUAAAGCGCGAUAAGGGUAACGGGAAUUCCCAGUGUAACGUUAAAUUGCGUAAAUUUCGGAAAGAACACCAUCGGCAAAGGCGUGUUACUGGGUCUGCACUGACCCUGAGUGACGAAAGCUGGGGGAGCGAAAGGAAUUAAAUCCCCCUGUAUUCCUACCCUUAAACAAUAACAACUAGGCUUGGUUCGUAUCGACC
rnacentral:rRNA from 1 species